CGCACGGGUGCGUAACGCGUAUACAAUCUACCUUUUACAGGGGGAUAGCCCAGAGAAAUUUGGAUUAAUACCCCAUGGCAUAUAUUUAUGGCAUCAUAUAUAUAUUAAAGAUUCAUCGGUAAGAGAUGAGUAUGCGUUCUAUUAGCUAGUAGGUGCGGUAACGGCGCACCUAGGCUACGAUAGAUAGGGGCCCUGAGAGGGGGAUCCCCCACACCGGUACUGAGACACGGACCAG
rnacentral:rRNA from 1 species